GCCGGCCCACUUUUCAAAUGCAUCUGGGCCGACUUUGGCGUUCCAAUCUCCCACCACGGCUAGAAAGUCUUUCUUGGGGAUCCCCCUCAUCGUUUCCUCCAGCUGCUCAUAGAACACCUCUACCUCGUUGUCCCCUCGAUCGGCGUGAGGUGCAUGAGCUACGAUGACUGAGACGUUUCGUGGUCGAGCCGCUAUACGAAUGGUUGCGAGUCUGCUCGAGAUGGGCUCCCAACUUAGGACUGCCGCUGCCGCUCUGUUGUGGACGAGAAAGCCAACGCCUAGUUGCCUGUUCUCACUGCCACUGUAGAACAGCUUGUGUCCGAAGGGAGUACCCUCCUCUCCUGAGCUCGUCCACCGCAUCUCGGCAAGCCCUAUGACGUCCCAGUCGUACCGUUCCAGCUCCAGACAGAGCUCGAGCACUUGACCACACUUGUGGAGCGUACGGACGUUCCACAUGCCAACCACUAUUCUCUUCAACAAAUUAAGUGCACGUACCUGCUGAGCGGAUGUUUUCACACUCUGAUUCUUUUCUGCUGGAGGGCGAUGGGCUCGCCGUGGGUCCCUUGCCUUUUUGGUUCCGGCCACAGUCUGGUGUCGGUCGCGCAUCCGACGCCCCAGGAGUCUGUCUUGUCCCGUUGUCCCUUAGACUUGACUUUCUUCACCUGCGUUAAGGGUCUUCCGCCUCCGUGUUGGCAGGCGCCAACGGAGAUGGCCGACCUUAUUAUCCUGGGCGACGUCGGUGCCAGUAUGAAUAUUGUGUGGCUGUAACUGAAUCAUUAGAAUUUAAUAGGCUGUUACGUAGUGGUGGUGCCCACUCCUCUCCACUCCGGUUUGUUUGUCGGGGUUUUCUCCCCUAGCCUGACUAAGGCGGGCGAGUGCAGGUUUAACUAAGUUCUAACUAAGGUCUAUGUACACUAUUUACAUCUAUUUACAUCAGUCUUCUCAGUAAUCAUAUAUACACAUAUUUACAAGAGGCGUGCCAGCGGUACACGGGUACGGGCGCUGGCGAAGGGGGGCGUCCCACCCUGACCUUCGUACGAGUUUCUUCGGCUUUUGGCUGCCCUCACAGCUCUGCAAGUGCGAAAUGGGACUGCCAGCGAGUCUGUGCUUGGAAUUUGCUCACAGUCGCGGCCGAUCGAUUUCAGUGGGGUACCACCGCAUACCAUCACUGUCAGUAUAGACGUCCGAGGCCAUUGAGGUAUAACUUCCCGUUACAUCCCUUCCUUCGAGUUUAUAUGACUUCUAGUGGUUUUGAGUAUGGCCAUAGGGGCCCUCUCAUUUUGCACUAUAAGUUUACGCGCAGUGACCGUCGCGAGACGGACCGCACGCCCAUGCCUGAGAUCCAACUACGAGCUUUUUAAUCGCAACGACUUUAAUAUACGCUAUUGGAGCUGGAAUUACCGCGGCUGCUGGCACCAGACUUGCCCUCCAAUAGAUCCUCGUUAAAGGGUUUAAAGUGUACUCAUUCCAAUUACGGAGCCUCAAAAGAGUUCCGUAUUGUUAUUUUUCGUCACUACCUCCCCGAGCUGGGAGUGGGUAAGUUGCGCGCCUGCUGCCUUCCUUGGAUGUGGUAGCCGUUUCUCAUGCUCCCUCUCCGGAAUCGAACCCUGAUUCCCCGUUACCCGUAGUCAACAUGGUAGGCCUAUCACGUACCAUCGACAUUUGAUAGGGCAGACAUUUGAAAGAUGCGUCGCCGGCUCGAGGCCAUGCGAUCGGCACAAAGUUAUCCAGAGUCACCAAAAGGGACGGGGCCGAAACCCCGACUGGUUUUGAACUAAUAAAAGCGCUCUUUCCCGGCUGUGACACCGGGUCGGAGCUGGUUUGCAUGUAUUAGCUCUAGAAUUGCCACAGUUAUCCAAGUAGAAAUGGAUCAUCUAAGGAACCUCGACUGAUUUAAUGAGCCAUUCGCGGUUUCACCGUACGAGGGUGUGAACUUAGACAUGCAUGGCUUAAUCUUUGAGACAAGCAUAUGACUACUGGCAGGAUCAACCAGAA
rnacentral:rRNA from 1 species